UAACUUUAGGACGUGUUUCGAUCGUGUCCGAAAUGUUUAUGCCAUUUUGGUUUCUCAUGCCUUAUGAUUACUUCAUAUGUUCGUUCGAGUUUAGUAGUUAGAUUGAAUAC